rnacentral:rRNA from 1 species
GACGGGUGAGUAAUGUCUGGGAAACUGCCUGAUGGAGGGGGAUAACUACUGGAAACGGUAGCUAAUACCGCAUAACGCGCAAGACCAAAGAGGGGGACCUUCGGGCCUCUUGCCAUCGGAUGUGCCCAGAUGGGAUUAGCUAGUAGGUGGGGUAACGGCUCACCUAGGCGACGAUCCCUAGCUGGUCUGAGAGGAUGACCAGCCACACUGGAACUGAGACACGGUCCAGACUCCUACGGGAGGCAGCAUG